GAGACUAUAUGCCCUGGAGGUGCCAGCCGCCGCGGUAAUACGUAGGGGGCAAGCGUUAUCCGGAUUUACUGGGUGUAAAGGGAGCGUAGACGGUAUGGCAAGUCUGAUGUGAAAGCCCGGGGCUCAACCCCGGGACUGCAUUGGAAACUGUUAAGCUAGAGUGCAGGAGAGGUAAGCGGAAUUCCUAGUGUAGCGGUGAAAUGCGUAGAUAUUAGGAGGAACACCAGUGGCGAAGGCGGCUUACUGGACGGUAACUGACGUUGAGGCUCGAAAGCGUGGGGAGCAAACAGGAUUAGAUACCCUGGUAGUCCAGAAGUGUUAGUAACCGCG
rnacentral:rRNA from 1 species